UUAUAUGGGCACCAAGACUGGACGAGCACCUGUGAUAUUUGCCUGUCAGUUCAUAAACUUAUUUGAGAUCAUAAUAGGUAACUAUAUAUGUAGAUAAGGUCAAUUUACUGCCUAUCUAUUUACUCAUCCUAUAUUUACAAACACAGUUGUAAUCACUGUAGUGUAUAACUAACUGUACAUUUUCAUUCAUUCAGGCAUAAUUACAUGGCAUCAUUUUCAUUCAUCAUUAUAAGAAUUAUGGGUAAUGUACGUCUCUUGUUCUUGUUGUGAGUUACUUUGCUCAGUGAACUGUCUCUUGUUAUGUUCUUGUUAUGUCCUGUGUUGUUAAGUGAUGUCCAAUAAAUAUCUUGUAUAUUUGUUAAGUAAGAAUGUGAUUGGAUGAGAGUGAUUUCAUAUCAUUUUAUGCACGGGCAAUUUACAUUCCUUUUCUAAGAAAUCAUUUUCAAACUUUGUAUUGUAGAGUUAACUGCAGUAGUUCUUCAUAGAACAUUAAUAAAUAUUGUCUUUAUAUAAAUUAACUUUACGUUUGUUCUUUAUAGAACGGAUUUGAUAUUUAUAAUUUUAUAUAAUAGAGGUCAGCCAGUUGCACCUGGUUUUCAUUUACACAUCAUCAAAAUAAAUAUUGAACACCCA